rnacentral:rRNA from 1 species
AGAGUUUGAUUAUGGCUCAGGAUGAACGCUAGCGGCAGGCUUAACACAUGCAAGUCGAGGGGCAGCAUGUCCAGCAAUGGAUGAUGGCGACCGGCGGAAGGGUGCGUAACGCGUGAGCAACAUGCCCUAUACAGGGAGAUACACCAGGGAAACUUGGUCUAAUAUCCCAUAGCAUUCAUUGAAGGCAUCUUUAAUGAAUUAAAGCUUCGGUGGUAUAGGAUUGGCUCGCGUGACAUUAGCCAGAUGGUGAGGUAACGGCUCACCAUAGCAAUGAUGUCUAGGGGUUUUGAGAGGAAGGCCCCCCACACUGGGACUGAGACACGGCCCAGACUCCUACGGGAGGCAGCAGUGAGGAAUAUUGGACAAUGGAUGGAAAUCUGAUCCAGCCAUGCCGCGUGCAGGAAGACGGCCUUAUGGGUUGUAAACUGCUUUUAUACGGGAGCAAUAAGGGUUACGAGUAGUCCGAUGAGAGUACUGUAUGAAUAAGGAUCGGCUAACUCCGUGCCAGCAGCCGCGGUAAUACGGAGGAUCCGAGCGUUAUCCGGAAUUAUUGGGUUUAAAGGGUGCGUAGGCGGCCAUUUAAGUCAGCGGUGAAAUUUUGCAGCUUAACUGUAACAGUGCCGUUGAUACUGUUUGGCUAGGAUUUGGUUGUAGUGUGCGGAAUGUGUGGUGUAGCGGUGAAAUGCUUAGAUAUCACACAGAACACCGAUUGCGAA